UCCCGCAGUCCCCCUCCUCCGGCCGCCGCAGAGCAGGCGCCGCCCCCUUCCCCCCCUCCCCGGCUCUGCGUCUGGCGCAGCUGGGGGACGACGGGAGGGGUCUCGCCCGAGCCCGGUGGGUGGAGAAGAUUCUGUUAUCAUCCUUCGGUCCGGGUUUCCCUGUGCCUGCGACCCCAGUUCCCCCGCACUGGGGGCUCCGGGGUUCAGGGACCCCUUUGGGGAAGUGGUUCCCAGUGGUUCCCGGCGUCCCAGGGAGGACGCCAGGGUUGAGGGUGGGGGCAGGCGGCAUCUCACGACCAGAAUCGGGCCCUGGGCCGCCCUUCUGGAGCCAUGGCUGACUCUGGGGGCUUCUGGAAGUUGACUCUGCGGUUCUGUGCGCGCCCCUGGGCAUCCCAGAGGCUGGGAAAUCUCGAGCAAACGAGAUGUGACACUACCCUGCCUACAUAGUAGGUGCUCAGUAAGCCUCGGCCCGCACAUAGCGGAUCUCCACCGGGCCGGGAGCACCCACUCUGAGGCCUGAGGUCUCAUCCCAUGUGCACACUCUCGUAGGUUUUCAGAAGGGAAAACUGAGGCCCGGAGAGGGCACCUCAUUUUCCCCUGGUCAACCGGCAUGUCGGGAGCCCGAGGACCCUAAUCCUGGCGCCUUCUCCAGGGCGCUCCGCUGGGGGGAGGGGAACGCUGUGCAGGUGGCCUUGCCUCUCCCAAACUUGAAGCCGGAGGAAAUGGGGUGCCUAUUCUGGUUCUGGCAAGGGAAGGGUUAAGGGGAUAGCGACCCCUUCCCCCACCCUCCUUGCGUCUCUCUCCCCCUCUCCACCCUCCUUCCUCAUCUCUAAUCUGCCUCUGUUAAUCCCCAGCUUGAGUCCUCUGUCCCUCCCUCUUAGGUACCUCAGAGGAACGGGGGGAAUGGGUUGAUAGCAGCCAGAUCCCAGGGGUUGGGGUCCAGGGGACAACAGGGGGCGGCACAGACGGAGCCCCCACCCAUCGUUUCCCCCAGGAGGCCACCCCUGGGCUGUGGGAACAGUGCUGUAUGUGAGCCUGCUCAGUUACCUUCGUAGCAGCCCUAUAACUCCAUCUCCGUUUUAUAAGGAAACUGAGGCUCAGAGAGGUUUAGAUAGGUCCCUGAGGUCACCCAGCUAGUCCAGAGGAUGCUUUCCUGACUGAAUCGCAUCAUUUCAGCUUCUUCUGUGAUCUGAAUAGGCUGAGAAUCUCUCAGACCAUCACCUCCUGCUUCCUGUAUAACCCUAGGACACAGCUGAGCUGAGUUUCUGCCACUGUGGAGCAAAGCCCCCCCCCCCCCCCCUUCCUCCAGAUGUUUGGCCUGAAGUUCUUUCACUCUGUUUCAUUCCUGGGAGACGGAAGGGAUUCGUCAACGCGUGAAAAGUGUCCAGCCUCACGCAGACCAAAGAGAGGAUAACAAACAGGAAGAAAACACCGUAUGCUUUGGCACUCAUCAAAGAAAGUACGUCUCCACAAGGAGCCCUUGCUCGCUGCCUCCGGGAACAGUGAUCACUGCCCUGCGAAGAAGGCAAAAACCCAGAAGCAAGCCAAGUGCCCAUCGCUGGGAGAAGGGAGAGGUGCACUGUGGGAAAUUCACCUACAGGCGUAUUAAUCAGCAGCCCGGCCGUGUUCCCACCCCAGGCGAACAGCACGGAGGGACCGAACAACGUGACAUUGGGUGCGACGACGCUCAACCGACCGAGCCACCCGGGUGCCCCAGCAUGAUAGUCUCUUUAUGAAGUUAUGAUACUUGAAAUGGAAAUGAUAUUUUGGGGGUCACAACCAUUUGAGACAGAGUUAUCUUUAAGCGGGGGAAGGGAUCAAUUCCAGAUCGCGGGGUGGGGUUACUUCAGGGAGAGGAGUCAGAGAGCAGGAUGGGGUUAUUGCUAAAAUUCUGUUUAUCCAGGUGGUGUUCAGUUGGCGGGUGUUUAUUCCAUGAGCAGACUGUAAAAUUUACUGAUAAAUGGAGCGAUGACGACGGUAAGUCAUGGGGCGGACUGGGAUUGAACUCAUUCUAGCAUCUGAAGCCCAAGCAAACGGCGGAAGCACCAGCUCAGAGCCACGUGCCAGAGGGAGCUGUGGCCCCACGCAGGGGGUGCGGGGAUGUCCAUAGGGGUGAUUCACUGCUCCGUCCCGGGCACGGAGAACAGCUCCUGCUGCAUAGUAGGUGGUCAAGAAAUAUUUGUUGAAUCAAUGAAAGUUUCAGAGGGAUCAAAGGCCUUGUAAAGUCCCCUCUUAUUUACUUAUUUUGAGAGAGAGAGAGAGGGGGCAGGGGAGGGGCAGAGAAAGAGGGGGAGAGAGAGAAUCCCAAGCAGCUGAGCCCAAAUCAAGUCAGACGCUUCACCCACUGAGCCACCCAGGAGCCCCGUAAAAUCCGCUUUGAAAAGCCAAUCAUAUAGGGGCGCCUGGGUGGCUCAGUCGGUGAAGCGUCCCACUUUGGCUCGGGCCAUGAUCUCACAGUUCCUGCGUUCGAGCCCUGCAUUGGGCUCUGUACUGAUGGCUCAGAGCCCGCUUCAGAUCUUCUGUCCCCGCUCUCUGCCCCUCCUCCUCCUCCUCUCUCUCUUUCAAAACUAAACAUUAAGAAAAGAGAAGAAAAAAAACUACUUAAAAAACCCCCAAAUCAUAUAUAUGUAUGUAAUAUACUGGUAUGUAUUAUAUAUACAUGUAAAAUGUAUAACGUGAAAUGUAGAUGCGUUUAUGUAUUAUAUAUUAUGAUUUAGUAUACGAUGCAUGUUUGUGUAUUUGUAUGCGUAUGUCUGAAAUAUGUUUUUUAAGUAACUAAACACGUAAAUGCACAUAGUUAGUAGAAUCGGACACACAGGCACACACACGCACACACCCCCCAGGGUUGCUCAAUCACAGCGCUGACGUGAACUGAGGUCCAAGAUGCUUUGUGACGGAAGGGAAGCAGAAAGCAAACCCGAACCGCUGAAUCAUUGAAGACAUACUUCCAGCAUUCGUGCAAGAACACAGCCAGAGCCACACGGGGCCAAGCUGCAGGCACUGACCCGGUGACGUGGGGGGCAUGUCUAGCCCCAUUCUGCAGCUAAUUACCCCAAGUCCCUUUCUGCUCAACUCUGCCCCAGUAGCCCCAAAGCAGCCCCGGACGAGCAGUAAACCCAUGGGCACGGCCGUGUGUCUGGCUUCUC